GUGAUUAGUUAAUAUACAAUAUAAUAUACAUGUGAAAAAACACGAAUAGACGAAUUUCCAAUUUAUUUGAAGAAAUAAUAAACAUAUACAUAUAUAUAUAUACGUAUAUGUAGACUAACUUCUAUAUAUUAACAGUUAAAACCUGAAAUUCGUCAAAACUAGUUUCCACAAAUCCCUUUAGUAAAUUCUAGUUUUUACUAGUUAAAACUAAAAUUAACUACAGAUUUUAAUAAGUCAGUCAAAACUAAUUUUUACUGAAACGCAUGUAUUCCAACCUGUAAAACAUACCUAAAACAUCUAUAAAUAUUUCCCCAUAAAUUCGACUGGCUGGUUAUCAAAUCAAUUAACAUAACUUUAACCAGUCGUCCAUCAAAUCACUUUUAGAUAUGAUAACUUCGACCGAUUAUACCUAAUAGAUAAUAAUUCUGCUGCCGUAGCUUUUGUCCCCGUGUUUUCAGUUUUGCCAGUUCGUUUGUCUUCACUGUAGUCAUUGUACCUACGUGUGUGUCUGUCUGGCGCAACUAGUUUAAAGUAUCAAAAUCAAAAUUACGGAUUUUCAAUAGAUAAUUCUAGUUUUCACCAAUAUAUUUCAAACAAAACUAGUUCUAACUGAACAAAAAUAUGUUAAAUAUAAUUUUACCGGUGAAGGUCUAAGUUAAUUUUAGUUUUAACUAAUCAAAAUUAGAAUUGACUAAAAGGAUUUGUGGAAACUAUUUUUAACUAGUUUAAACUAAAAGUAAUGGAUUUCUGGUUUUAACUGUAACAUAUAUAUUUAAAUUAUUAGUAAAAUUAUCCGGCUAUGCAAGGGUACAGUAAGACGAAAGUGGGUCUAUUUUAAGGGAUUCAGUAUAGGUAAUAUUUAAUACACUUGAAUGUAUGCUGUCACGCUUAAUGCGUAGCGUAUAUUAUAUACCGAAUCACAAAAAGUUAUACUUGAAUUUAUUAUAACAGAAUGCAUAAUGAUAAUAUUAUGGAAUGAAUAUUAUUGUGCACGGUGUAAGAAUUAUUAAUAUUUUGUAUAGUGGAGACUGUCAUGCAAAAUAAUGGUGUAUCGAUUUUAAAGCUAUAAACCACCCACCCACUCUAACACAAAAGUUGUAUGGACUAUUAGGUAACUAAUAUGUACAGUACACACUCAUAACACAUCCUUUAAUAGUAUUUUACUCCAUAUAUUGUAUAACUUUAUAAAAGUCAUUCAUCUACCAUAACCACCCAUCAACCCACCCAAUUUCAAAAAUGUAUCGAAAGUUCCACAUUUAGUAUGGGAUAGCCGCCACUGGUUUUAAAAAUCAUUACUAGCAAAAAAACGCUUUUUAAAAGAGCAGCUCACUAUCCCAGUUAAGCAGUUAAUAAAAAUAAAUAACAACAAAUCAUAAAGUUAUCAGAAUAAUUUAAACAUUUUAUCGCGUUCAUAAUAGGC